rnacentral:rRNA from 1 species
AACAGGAUUAGAUACCCUGGUAGUCCACGCUGUAAACGGUGGGUACUAGGUGUGGGGUCCAUUCCACGGGUUCCGUGCCGUAGCUAACGCUUUAAGUACCCCGCCUGGGGAGUACGGCCGCAAGGCUAAAACUCAAAGGAAUUGACGGGGCCCCGCACAAGCGGCGGAGCAUGCGGAUUAAUUCGAUGCAACGCGUAGAACCUUACCUGGGUUUGACAUGGAUCGGGAGUGCUCAGAGAUGGGUGUGCCUCUUUUGGGGUCGGUUCACAGGUGGUGCAUGGCUGUCGUCAGCUCGUGUCGUGAGAUGUUGGGUUAAGUCCCGCAACGAGCGCAACCCUUGUUCACUGUUGCCAGCACGUUAUGGUGGGGACUCAGUGGAGACCGCCGGGGUCAACUCGGAGGAAGGUGGGGAUGACGUCAAGUCAUCAUGCCCCUUAUGUCCAGGGCUUCACGCAUGCUACAAUGGCUGGUACAGAGAGUGGCGAGCCUGUGAGGGUGAGCGAAUCUCGGAAAGCCGGUCUCAGUUCGGAUUGGGGUCUGCAACUCGACCUCAUGAAGUCGGAGUCGCUAGUAAUCGCAGAUCAGCAACGCUGCGGUGAAUACGUUCCCGGGGCUUGUACACACCGCCCGUCAAGUCAUGAAAGUUGGUAACACCCGAAGCCGGUGGCCUAACCGUUGUGGGGGAGCCGUCGAAGGUGGGACUGGUGAUUAGGACUAAGUCGUAACAAGGUAACC